UUUUAAAGAUGAACAAAGAAAGUGGUUUCUUGAGAUGGAAUCUAUUCCUGGUGAAGAUGCUGUAAA
rnacentral:pre_miRNA from 1 species